rnacentral:rRNA from 1 species
GACGGGGGGAGCAAGCGUUGUUCGGAUUUACUGGGCGUAAAGGGCGUCUAGGUGGGUUACCAAGUCAGAUGUGAAAUCCUGCGGCUCAACCGUAGAACUGCAUUUGAUACUGGUAGUCUUGAGUACGGAAGAGGGAAGCGGAAUUCCUGGUGUAGCGGUGAAAUGCGUAGAUAUCAGGAAGAACACCGGUGGCGAAGGCGGCUUCCUGGUCCUGUACUGACACUGAAGCGCGAAAGUGUGGGUAG